rnacentral:rRNA from 1 species
UUAAUCCCUACACCACCUAAGAACCCUUACACAAUAUUGAGUAAUUCUAUAUCUCUUAUAGAAGAUUUCAUGUUAAAACUAGUAACAAGAAGAAGAACUUCUCCUAAAAUGCAAGUGUAAACCAGACAGGACACCCCGCUGGCGAUUAACACCCAUGAAACAUAAAAGUAGUAACUUAACAAGAAAACCCUACUUCACCCUGUGUUAACCUAACACCAGAGCAUUACAAGAAAGAUUUAAAGAAAGAGAAGGAACUCGGCAAAUAUUAACCUCGCCUGUUUACCAAAAACAUCGCCUCUUGAAAAAUAUAAGAGGUCCAGCCUGCCCAGUGACUCUGUUCAACGGCCGCGGUAUCCUAACCGUGCGAAGGUAGCGUAAUCACUUGUUCUUUAAAUGAGGACUAGUAUGAACGGCACCACGAAGGUUAUACUGUCUCCUCUUUCCAAUCAGUGAAACUAAUCUCCUCGUGAAGAAGCGAGGAUAAAUAUAUAAGACGAGAAGACCCUAUGGAGCUUUAAACCACACAACACCUGCUCUAGCUUAAUUAACUUCCAGAAAACCCCCAUCUUUACCCAUGCAGGAUGAUUGCCAGUUUUAGGUUGGGGUGACCACGGAGCACAAAAUAACCUCCACAUUGAAAGGAACCCACUCCUUAGCCAAGAGCCACACCUCCACGCACCAACAAAAUGACAUUAAUUGACCCAAUAUAUUGAUCAACGAACCAAGUUACCCUAGGGAUAACAGCGCAAUCCACUUUAAGAGCCCCUAUCGACAAGUGGGUUUACGACCUCGAUGUUGGAUCAGGGUGUCCCGGUGGUGCAGCCGCUACCAAAGGUUCGUU